ensembl:lncRNA
CUUCUGAAGUCUCAUCGGAAAGGAUGAACUCUCCUGUCAACUAUGUUCUUUAUACGACAUUGCCUAGAACAAUUAUUCUAGCUUCUCAGUGUGCUCCUGAACUGUCACAGAGAGCUACAGGCAGAGAGAGAAGGAUGUUAUGGGAAACCAUGCCAAAGGCCUUACUGAAGUCCAGACAGAUGACAUCAUUGGCUCUUGCUUUGUCCAUUGAUGCAGUUACAUCACCAUAGAAAAUCCCAGUGUCUGAACCCUUUUUUGACUGGUAAUCAUGAACAAGAAGAGUAGAAACAGGAGUACUUGAUAUCAGAUCAAAACCACACAGCAUCUCUGUAAGAACGGCA